rnacentral:rRNA from 1 species
UACGGAAGGCAGCAGUGGGGAAUAUUGCACAAUGGGCGCAAGCCUGAUGCAGCCAUGCCGCGUGUAUGAAGAAGGCCUUCGGGUUGUAAAGUACUUUCAGUCGUGAGGAAGGUGUUAAGGUUAAUAACCUUAGCAAUUGACGUUAGCGACAGAAGAAGCACCGGCUAACUCCGUGCCAGCAGCCGCGGUAAUACGGAGGGUGCGAGCGUUAAUCGGAAUUACUGGGCGUAAAGGGCACGCAGGCGGUUAAUUAAGUUGGAUGUGAAAUCCCCGGGCUUAACCUGGGAAUGGCAUUCAAGACUGGUUAGCUAGAGUCUUGUAGAGGGGGUUAGAAUUCCAUGUGUAGCGGUGAAAUGCGUAGAGAUGUGGAGGAAUACCGGGUGGCGAAGGCGGCCCCUGGGACAAAGGCUGACGCUCAUGUGCGAAAGCGUGGGGAGCGAAACAGGAUUAGAUAC